UAGUAGAUUCCAGUGGAACUGCCUUUAACUUGGGGUUGUUUUCUAGAGCCAGCGUCUACAACAAAAACUGAAACGAAAAUGCUAUGGGAAAUUUCAUUUGAAAAAAAAAAAUCAUUUAAGAAAGAGCUGGGUUUUCCUCCAGUGUUAGAAAUGAUUAUUCUUUGGCUUCUUAGUGAAGCAAUUCACAGUCCUGUAUUCAGGAGCCCUGUGACUGAGAAUGACCCAGAAUCUUCCUACCUUAUACAUCACCUGGAAGACUGCCAACGCCUUAGUGAGGAGUCCAGCCCAUCCUCUCCAUCACCAUGGAUGUGGUAGCCCACAGGAU